rnacentral:lncRNA from 1 species
AGCCCUUUGCCCUGUCAGCCUAGACUCAAUGACCCAUUGUGAACCAUUACCACCGUGCCCAUUGACAUGCUGGAAACUCUUCCCUUCUUAUUCUAAACCCCAAGGCCCUGUCAACACGCUCUACUGGGGAAGCACACCUACUGCUUUGGUUUCCAAUAUGAUUUCAGAGCAAUUGCCUUGCAAACCUUCAGCAACAACCUCUCCUGUGCUGUUAACCCUUUGAAGGAGUGUGCAUUUUUAAAAAGUUGGCAUUGGGCACAGUGGCUGAAGCCUGUAUCCCAGCACUUUGGGAGGCCGAGGCAGGUGGAUCACCUGAGGUCAGGAGUUCGAGACCAGCCUGGCCAACAUGGCGAAACCCCGUCUCUACUAAAAAUACAAAAAUUAGCUGGGCAUGGUGGUGGGCACCUGUAAUCCCAGCUACUCGGGAGGGUGAGGCAGGAGAAUCACUUGAACCCAGGAGGCAGAGGUUGCAUUGAGCCGAGAUAGUAUCACUGCACUCCAGGCAGGGUGACAGAGCAAGACUCUGUCUCAAAAAAAAAAAAAGUUGGCAUCAAUGUGUUCUUCCAUCUGAUCUAUGUCUUCACAUUACAGCAUGUUUUCUGUUUGAGCCCACACAUAUUAGAUGGUAACUUUAGAAUGGGUGGGUCUGUGCCGUUGUCCCGGCACAGCUGUGAGGGUGGUGACAGGCAGGUCAGCAGGUGCGUACAGAGGGGCUUUCUUCUACAUUGGAGUUCAGGUCGGAUGAUCCAGGUCCACAGUGUUCAUUCAGGGCUCUGUGUUCUGGUGGCUUCCGUUGAUUUCUUAAGACUGUGAUAGAAUUCCUACAG